rnacentral:misc_RNA from 1 species
AGAAAAGAGGUGUCGGCCCCUCUCGUCCUUCGCGCCGUUUGCGUUCGCCGUGCCACCUAGCUAGGCAAACACAAACACCCCUGCUGCUAUGCUAUCAAAUACGUGUUUCUCUUGUUGCUGCUGCGAUCGGGAGCGUUUCUCAGCUGGAGCUUCCUCUAUGCCGUGCUGUCAAAACUGCUGCGAAGGAGCGCCGCACCUCCCAUGGUCCGAGAAGGCAUCGCGUCCUUCUCGCUGCUUCUGAAGCUAAAACCGUGCAAAGACGACGCAUCGGUCGGUGACUGUUCGUAUGUGUUCUGCAUGCGAGUUUGCCGGCCGCUCUGUGAAUGGAUCGAGCGGUUGUGCGCGUGUCCGACGGAGCGUCGCACCAUCACGAAACGCCGCCCGAUGACUCGAGUUUGAGCACAUCCUCGAACGAAAGUGCUGGAGCGAAACGAAAUCCCCCUGCCAAGCCACCUAGACGACGGCACUCGGUCACGUCCCUGAAAGACACGGAGUCGUACGGCAGCCUGUGUCGGCCCUCGCCAAACAGCACCUCUGCACGCCAGGGGCGUCGUGGCGAUGGCGACCCUUGGGCCGAGCAUGGCCAGUGGAUCCUCGACCCCCCGCCAAACUUUGGCGGUGGCACGCCACCAUGCUUCUCGCUGAGCUAUGGCGGUGGCCGCAGUGGAUGCGGUGGCAGUAGCACGCCGUCGUCCGACAGCCGAAACGACUUUCGCUCCCUGCCACUCAGUGUUGCGCAGGAGCGCAAGCUGUGUCAUUCAACGCCCAGCCAACCGGCGGGAACGUCGACGCGCACCAGUCUGCACGCAAGACCUUCGCACCUCCCGACCAGCUCAACACCCGUGCACUACUCCAACUUCCCACCGAGUCCAGUCGCAAGCUCCGAGCGGGACAUCCCCGAUGUGGUGUCGCGACCCGUUCUAGCGGCUGCCUCGGGGGCUACUCCCGGCUCGUUAAGUACUUCCACCUGUCGCCGAGGGUGCGGUGAAGGUGACAGGUCGGUUGCAGUUACUGCCGGUGCCAAUGGCGGUUGUGCACCGGCCUGGCUCUCGGCACCUCCCAGUAGCCCACGCCGAACUCACAGCGACCCCAUCAUCCAUCUAGAUGACGUUGACGAGGAGCAGGCAGAUAAUCCGGGCAUCUGGACAUACAGACCAAGGUCUGGUGUGGUCAAUAGCAAACCAGAUCCUUCUGCAACAUUGCGUACGCGAACAGUGGUACCCGAAGAAAUGAAGGCGCUGCAGGAAAUUAACAGCAAGCUGUGGAAUCAGGUGCAGCACCUCCAGUCACAGCUGGAACUGCUGAGGAGGAUAAAGUCGCCGGACAAGCCUCCCUCCACGUCCGUCAACGGCGUCAGCUUUGCCGAACUGUUGGCCGACGUGUACUACGCACAGCGAGAACGGGAUGAUUCGAUCAGCGAGCGGCUGGCGAGUGCCAACCAAAGUCUGGACCUGUACCAAAAGGAACUGCAGAAGCUAGCAGAAGCCAGGAGUGAUGCGUCAGAUGGCUCGAGUGAUGAGGAGAACUGCGACAAUUUGGUGCUUAGCGGCCUCGACAAGAUACUGCAGGGCCUGGAGAGCAGUUGGGCACCGGCACGGGUGACGCGGCACCAGGAGACCCUACUGGCAACCGUGCAGCGCCUGCGCGACCACCGAGGCAAGAGGGCACGGCAUCGGCUGCGGGCCAUCCAGGCUGAACGAGACGUUGCGCUCGAAAAGGUCAAAGUUCUCGAGAAGGAAGUUCAGGAGCUGCACAUGAAAGCCAUCUGGAAGAGUGAGAACUGGGGCUGCUCCAGCAAUGAUGCCGUGCAACAGGCAACCAACGAGCGAAACGCUGCGCUUGGCCGACUUCAGGAACUUCAAGAAAGCCUCGCAGCGCAGGCAAACAACGGCAAUCGAGGCACCGGUGAUGGAGUGAAGAUUUCGGCAGAAGCGCAGACGGACUUCAUUGGCGUUCAAGACGGCAUCGAUCUGGCUGCAAGCUCGUGUUUGCAGCAGCUCAAAGAGGAAGUCAGCCGGAUCAGCCAACGUCUCGACGAAGAGGCCGCGUCACGGCAGAAUGCAGAGAUGAAAUGUCAGAGGUUAGAAGAACUGGUGAACGGCUUCCAGAAACGCCUCAAUGGACUGAACAACAGCUUCUGACGGCGUCGAAUCGUGGGGCUGAUGGUGCCUUCAACCGUUGCAGCAUUCACCAGCUGAAAGCCGGCUCUUUAGGCACUGGGGAAAGGUCAACAUUCCAAGCAAAUUUUUUUUUUUCCUGGCUCACAGCUAGCUUGUGUUGCCACAAAUUAAGAUACAUUUUCUUUUUAGCAGAUGCUCUAUAAAGAGUGACCGUUUGCAUAGAGGUUUGUGGAAGAUUCUUUUUCUCUUCUUUUGAAACUUCUUGUUUGUUAGUAUCGUCCAGUGUACUGUAUUUGUUAAGUGUACAAUGAGAAGUUAGUAGACAUGCUGUAUUUCUUUUCACUAAUUCUUCACUGUCCGAAAUUUUUCGCUAUCUGUAGGUGCAUCCCGCACUUAGAGCACCACACAUGUGCUGUAACUAUGGAAAUAUAUUUUCUUCUGCACUUAACACCGAUAUUGUUCAAGGGGAACAAAUCUCUAUCGGAUGUUAUUUUAAAGCUGCGACGUUUGAAGCAGACGAGGAAACGUGGGAGGAGAGGACGCCUGUGGUAAUUUAGCUUGAGUACAGUGGUGCUUCCCUGGAAGGCCUGCUCCUUGCAUUUCUGUGAGCUGUUCACCUCUACAGACUUCUUGCUCGUUACCAUGUCGUUUGUUGGACAGAAGUGCUUAAUCUGCCUUGGAAAAGGAACGAGUGUAGUGAAAAUGACUGGGUCGUACCUCUGUGAAGUUUUCAAAUCUAAAGAACUGGUUGCUGCUGGCUGUCACACUGCCGUGCAAACGUUGGCCAAAGGAGACAGCAUUGUUGCACUGUCAUUCGUAGCCUGUUGAACCCAGCCUGCAAUGCUGAGAAGCCAGACAUGAAACAGCUCAUCACAUAGCAUGAAGUAGAAACAAACCUUGCAGGACCUUGGAUGGGCCUCUUGUUAGGCUUAGCUAAGCCUAACUUGCAGUAUUGAUUAGUAGUUUGCUGUACGCACAGGGUGGAUGACUUGUCAGCCGGUAAUAAUUGGGCGCACAACACGGAAGUUAGUUUGGCCCAGUACUUCAACUCGCUCGUUACAUUAGGGAUUAUGGCACAGCAAACGUGCACUUGCUGUGGAGCUUGAGGGGUCCGUUGGACUUGCUCCACACUCCCUGAACUGGUUCUUUAUGAGUAAGUCUUGGUCUCGUGUUGAUGUAAGAAGAGUUCAGCCGCAAUGCCUUUUUGGCCAGUGCAGUUAAUGCUCUGCACUUGGUCUGCACAAUGCAAGUGUCAUGCGAGAUGAAUGGCGGUGUGCAAAUAUACCACUAUGUCGCUUGUUUCAAUUGAAUACCAAAUGCAGAACAACCUCCACUAGUUCAGUAAUUGCAGGAAAGUUGCAUAGACCCAACAAAAGUGUUUUCACUUAUGCACGCAUGUUCUGCAGCUGUCCAACAAGUGACAAGUAGUGACUGUCCAACAAGUGGCAUGCACCGUUUUACGCUUAUCGUAAAGUUGCGCAUCACCAUUAUUGUAUGGUGCAGCCCUUGAGAUUCUGCUAACGGCAGAUGACAAUGCACGCAAUGUUGUAAGCAUUUGAAGAAGUGAGCAGAGCCAGCAGAAACUGGGCUGUGGACCAAACGUCCAUUGGUCAUGUCUUAAGGAGGAGUCUAAAGCAUUACGUUACAGGACAUGCGAGUCAAGCAGUUCUGUCCAUCUUGCAGUGUGUUCUUCGUUACAGUCUUUCUUAACAUCUACAGCAUGCUGUAGUGUUAAGCAACAACGCGAAGUGAAUAGCAGGUAUUGUAGGAGAGCCAUUCACUUCUCCUGGAUGCACAUAUCUCGCUUAUUAUUACUUCAUUUCUUGCCAGCUGCUUCAAGUGUUGAUGUAACAGCCAUCUUCCUGCCUUGCUCUUAGCUGUGGCAUGUUAAGGGGGACCAAGCUCGAUAAGGUAGUCCACACUGCAUAGAAUUCAACUUUCCGGCCGCCCGAUGAUACGAAUGUGUUCUUUCGUUGAUGUAGAGACUCAGCUUAUACCGCGGCAUGUCUAAAUAUAAAUAAUCAAAUGUGGUGAUGUCGUCUAUUACCUCCUUAUAUCCCCUCCUCGCUUCCUCGGUGACGCAGUGCACAAUAGCUCAGGUAAUAUACUCACCACUUGUGAAUAGUACAAAGCACGGCGGCUGGGCCGCUCUUGCCCUUCUGUAGACUCCCUGUGCAAUAAGAAAGGCCGCACAGCCAAUGCGCUGGCUGCACGUAUGCACUUAAGACACUCCUAGCGGGUGUAGGACACGUGCUUGCUGUGUGCGCAGUGUUUGGGAGGAAAUGUCACGUGGACCACGGAAGUAAUGAGGAAAAUGAAGCUUUUCGUGGACAGGGUUACUUGCGCAUCUUCGAGAGGGAAAAUAUUUCCGGAAAAUAAGUGUGCAGAACUUUCUUUUUCGUUAUGUAUUUCUAGGCUUGUGCGCAUAUUCGAGCAGUUCAAAUAUUCGAGCGAGUAUUACGGUAUUCGAAUUCGCGUCGAAACGAAUUUAAAUUAUUCUAAAUUUCGAAGUAUUCGAAAUGAACGAAUAGACAUAUAUAAACUGCAUGUAACCCCUGUAAAGGUUGUUUCACUUCAGCGCAGUAGUGCUAUGCCGUGCAGACACCUGUCCAGGGGAAAUUGCACUGCCGCAAAGCCCCACUUUAAGGUUAAAUGAACAGAUUACCCCCACAUCAAUUCAACAUUUUUUAAGUUUAAAAACUUGUUAUGCCGGCUUAUACUAUGCUGUAAUUAUAGUAAAGUUUAAAAGUUAACAUAUUUUACAGCUUAUCACUUGCAUUCUACCGAAAGUCAAAUCCUGCUACUAUUCAAAGUUGGUUCCACUUCCCUUUGAACCAAAAAGAAUGACAUUUGCACAUGACUUCUUUCAAUUUUAAAAAAUAUUGUGCAGGUUAGUUGGGUCAUAACAAAUAUGCUCAUUUUUCUUAUGGGAUACAUACUGUUUGAGUUCAAUUUGAAAUUGUUUGAUCAAAUCACUAUUCACUUGGAACCUAAAAUUUACUAUUUGCACAAGCCUACGUAUUUCCAUUAAUUUUGCAUGUAUUAUUACAGUUAGGACAAUUAUUGUAUUUCUGUGUUACCUUUUCUACAUAUUGCCAUCAGGCAAAGCCACAAUAUAUCCUUACAGGUGGGUAACUGAUAAAAAAUGAUUUUGACAAUGUCAGCACAGUCUCCUAGGCUAGAUGCAAACAGCUCCAGCUCAAGAGUAGUGAGGUUAGCGUCGACAUAAAUUUGCGCUUGGUAAGUCCUUCGAUUUGAGAACACUAACCAAACUAAUGGUACCACCCUUGUUACAUUGUCUGUGCAAUACCUUUGGAGAAAAAGCAAAAAAUAUGCUAUAUAGAAUGACAUGGCAAUAUCGAAUCACUGUAUGAAUGCAUACCGUACUUACCUAAAUUAUAAUGGAACCGUGAUUGUAACGACAGUGGCAACUUUUCAGUCUGUUCACAAAAGAAGAAAAAAGUUUGAAUGUAAUGCAAUGCUGUAUGGCAGUUAAACAUUACCUUUAUUUGUGAAAUAUCGCUGCCAAAAAAGUGGACAUUUUUCGUAGCGAGAUUGCUUUAUCGCAUUCUUCAGAAGCCGAGUGUCCGUUCGUUCCGCCGCCCACAGAUUGUCGAUUCAUUUAUGCCAAGAUGCUUUGUAGCUUUGCAAUAUCCCAGCUUUGUGCCAUCAAAUGGCUUUCCGUUUGAGGCGGGCACCGUACUGGGAGCGACGUGUAGCCGUUAUUAUGAAAAGAACAACUGAACACAAAUUCCUGGUGGAGGUCACGGCUGCACAUCAACGAAAUCUUGAUCGUUGGAUUCAUGCACCAUUUCAGGGCUCACUCUCAGACUUUCAGCAUGAAUCAAAUUUGUUUGCAUAUCCUCGGUGCACUGUUCUAUUAUGCGUAAGCACAAGCUUUAAACAAACAAAUGAAAACGAGACCACUAGUUUGGCGUGCACUGAAGGAGUGCUCAAACUAUGGUACUCAAACAAAAAAGACUUUUUGACUUGUGGUGGAUUCGGAUUUAGAUGCAAGUGCAGACGCUGCCAACGUGUAUCGCAGUGUCACUGAAAUGUAGUUUUCUGUCCAAAUUGGGUGCAUCGCAAUAUUCUUUUUUGGCUAGCAUUGAAGUGUAACACGACUUCAAGUGACGAAAGUUUGGGCGGAAAAACAAUGCAUUACUAUUGAGUAACUACAGUCAUUUAAAAACUGGCCUCUUCUGUGUGCAGUAUUGGAUGGACUAGCAAACGAUUAGCCUUGCAAUAGGUACCGAUAGUAGUUGCAUCUUGUUGUGAGCUGAAUGACCACGAUGGUUGGAAAGUAAUUUGCUGUAGUAUCGAAUUCGACUGUCUUUCACAGUUGUGCACAGUUCUGUUGGAUAAAAGCAGCUUUCGGAGAUGUAUGACAGUUAUUACACUUUAAAAACAAGAUAGCAUGAACUAAUGACACGUAACGCAGCCAUUGUCAACAUUAUCAUUACUUCCUCUUAUCUCCAAAUAUAAUGUGAUCAUAGCUAUUGGCAUUGUCAUGAAGGAGACAUUGUCUAAAUUAAAAGAGUGAUAAAUUUAGUAAUUGGGAACUGCAAUCCGUAUGUAUGUCGACGUGCCUAAAGACACCUGCGUGUCAUUAGGCACGCCCACACAUAUUCUGAGGAUGUGUCCUUGAACGUGUUUGCGUCAUUUCUUCGCACUGCUUCAGUGGUCCAUGACAUUUCAAUCCCAAGCAUACGCGUUAAGUUGUCUCUUAUUUUUCUUCUCAUUUGUCUAGAUCUUUAUUUAUUUGUGACCACCUUGAUGUUGUGGUUCUACAAGGCAGUAUAGUCUAUCUCUUUCUUUUUUCGUGCGUAUUGUUAUGCGCAGUUAUGAUUAUAUAAGACGGUAGGGGUGAGAGAGGAACGGGAACACGAAGCGUGUUCUUCGGUCACCUUCGCGCAUUGCAACUGUAUCGCAACAUGCGAGCGAAUGGCCUCAGAUCUCGUUACGGUCAUUAGAAGUGCCGGUAAAUGCAGUAGAUGCAGUAAAUGACAAUGGCAGCUUCUGUGACGCUGGUUGCAUUUUUGAACGCUCUCAGCAGUACUGUAGAAGGAAAAUUCGUUGCAAUCUUGUCUUACCUUAGUACCAAGACAUUAUCAACGAAGUUUUAAUGUUAGAUAUGUAACGAGUGCAAAGUUUGAUAUAGAGUGAUUGUUUGUACAGCUUCUGCUGCAUGUUGCCGACUCUGCUAGCAAGAUGUAUUGCCAUACACCCUCACUGACCAAUCACAGAUGGACGUUAAUGUCAGUGUGUCUUUAGUUCAGUUAACAAUGUUACCGUCAGGUGCACAACAGCUUCUUCUACGUUAUUUUAGCUUCCAUUAUAUUUUCCACAUAGUGGCCUUGGUUAGGCGAGUGCAUGCCAACGUGAAUUUGAAUGUGAACAAGUCGUAAACAACUUUAAUACACUGUUGCUUUUCCAUGCUCACCUGUUUUUGUGACCCUUCCUUAUUUGAACUUCAAAACGCAAAUUUUGAAAUGCUACUCCACAUUGAUAUACCAGCUUCAGAGUGAUUACAUGUUGCACGUAAUUACGCAUAAAGCAUUCCCUGAUUUCCUGUUUACGUUUGAAGUUACGCUGAUGGUACAUUUGUUAAGUGCCGCUGUAUUCUAACAAUUUUUGGGGCAUAGCUUUGUUUUUAAAUAGCACUGGAGUAUAACGUACUGUACUGCAAACCUUUUUUCCGACAGUUGAGCUGCGCUCCACUUUGUGUAUGGUACUUGGAAGUGGCACUUAAGGCUGUGUCCAAAGCAGAGAAAGUUGAUGGUGUGUUCACCUUAUCUUAUCUCUCGCCACAGAAAUCAUGCUUGCCAGUUCGCUGUGUAACUAGUGAUAAUACCGAUGCAUCCAGUAUUGUGCCUUUUGUGACCCCCGCACCACCAGAUAAACUGCCUGCGUGAGCAAAGUGUCGCCGUAUCACUACUGGCAGCGGUUUGCUGCCAGGUCAACUGAUAGUUACAGUGCUCGCUGUCAAACUGCUCCAUGCCUUCAAGGGCUUGAAAGUUUAAAACUGCUACGACUACUGAUAUCUCCUGCCGUUUGCGCACGUUUCCAAUGGCAAUAAGUGAAAUGUGUACGUUAUUGUCACACCGUCCUGAUGCGGCUUCCCAGAAGCACCGGUUUUAAUGCAGGUGCUAAUUGUUAACUCAAUCGAGUUUAGAAGCACAUAUAGCGUAGGCUCGUUUAUUUGAGCAAUAAGCAAUCAAGUCAUUUGUAGUGAGGCCCUCAUCUGAAAACAAUGAUGUCUAAGUGCUGCAACAUCGUGAAAGUACUGUAAUGCAUUUCCUCCAGUGGGAGUGUUGGUUUUCUUGCAAACUGCUGGUUGUGAGAAAGAAAGCUUGUAGCUUGAUGUCAUUUCGUUGUACGAAGGUGCAAUCGUGCAUUUACAAGGUGUCAUUGUUAGGUUGAUGAGAUGGGUACGAGGCAGCGGUCUUGAAUGUGUGAGUUUCAGCGUGCAAUGCUUGAGCUUGUAGUUUUUACGAGGACAGCCAUCGAUUUCACCUUCGCACAUAUUGGUGUGCUGUCCUACUGUCUGAAGCUACAUUUUUAAAAAUUUUUUUGCUCUCUCACUGUUGUGCCUUGAGCCAGCUGGUAUUUUUUUCAAUGAUUCCACUUUUACGACUCCCAAUAACAUAGCACUUCUCUGUCAAGCAGCAUUUUACUGCUUGGCAGGAACUGGGAAUUUAUUACUGCCUGUCUAGAAUUGGGCUUCUCCUUUUAAAAUGUGACGAGUGUUAGUAUUCAAAUUGGUAUGAAUGGCUGCCGAAGGGGAGCCUCUUCUGUAUUUCAUCUGCAUUCAAGCGCGAAGGGCAAUCACAAACUCUUUCUUUUGGUCUAACAAAAACUUUCUAUGCACAUGCUUGCCUUUGAUGCGCCUUGAUUGCAUCUCAUGAUUCCUUGCAUCAGCCAGAUUUCUGGCUGCUGUUCUGAGGAACAUUUCUGUGUUCACAACUCCUAAAAAGACGUACCUUCUUGCUUAUAUGAAAAGAACACCUUGACAAGUGUUUUUGUGCUGUCUUGGCAAUUCCUGCAUCGUGCUGAGAAUUAACAGCUAUGCACACAUCUAUGGUACUUAUCUACUGUGACCAUGUCUGCUACCAAGAAAUGCCUCACACUACCACACUAACCUGUUCUAUCUACCUUUUAUAGAUUAUGAAAUGGAUGAAUGUGUUCCAACGUGUGUUCUCAAGACUAAUGGAGUUUAGAUUUUUUUUUCUGUACCAGCUGUUUUUAUAGACGCUAUGCUCAAGGAAAGCACUUCAUUCAAAGGCUUGUGCUGCAGUGUUAGUAUUAUUACGAAUUCUCCCAACUGCAAAUGUCUUGAUGAAAGGUGCCGUCUCGUAUCAUUGUGAUCGUUAACACACAGUGUAUUUUGCGUAGGUCCCAUGUGAUGCACAAAGUAUUUUUUUUGAGCUUGUAUGAAAAAAAAGUUUGGUAGGAUGUGUUUUGUCCGUUUUUUUGUUUGUUACACAAUAUUUUAGGCCCAUUAAAUACAAACUGCAAAAACCUC